CCCUUAGAUGUUCUGGGCCGCACGCGUGCUACACUGAGUGGAUCAGCGGGUCAGGUUGCGCGAAAGUGUUGCCUAAUCUUUAAAUCCGCUCGUGAUGGGGAUUGACGGUUGCAAUUUUCCGUCAUGAACGAGGAAUACCUUGUAAGCGCGGGUCAUCAUCCCGCGCUGAAUACGUCCCUGCCCUUUGUACACACCGCCCGUCGCUCCUACCGAUUGAGUGGUCCGGUGAGGCUUUGGGAUCUGAGCGGAAAGAGCGUUUCGCUGUUUCUGCCCGGAAAACUCAGUCGAACCUUAUCAUUUAGAGGAAGGAGAAGUCGUAACA
rnacentral:rRNA from 1 species